UGGGGAAUAUUGGACAAUGGGCGAAAGCCUGAUCCAGCCAUGCCGCGUGUGUGAAGAAGGUCUUCGGAUUGUAAAGCACUUUAAGUUGGGAGGAAGGGCAGUAAGCGAAUACCUUGCUGUUUUGACGUUACCGACAGAAUAAGCACCGGCUAACUCUGUGCCAGCAGCCGCGGUAAUACAGAGGGUGCAAGCGUUAAUCGGAAUUACUGGGCGUAAAGCGCGCGUAGGUGGUUCGUUAAGUUGAUUGUGAAAGCCCCGGGCUCAACCUGGGAACUGCAUCCAAAACUGGCGAGCUAGAGUAGGGCAGAGGGUGGUGGAAUUUCCUGUGUAGCGGUGAAAUGCGUAGAUAUAGGAAGGAACACCAGUGGCGAAGGCGACCACCUGGGCUCAUACUGACACUGAGGUGCGAAAGCGUGGGGAGCAAACAGG
rnacentral:rRNA from 1 species